GGGUGUUUGGUCUAGUGGUAUGAUUCUUGCUUUGGGUGCAAGAGGUCAUGAGUUCAACUCUCACAACACCCC
rfam:Ipomoea nil DNA, scaffold: scaffold2283, cultivar: Tokyo-kokei standard.